rnacentral:rRNA from 1 species
UAACGAAUCUUCCCCAAUGCACGAAAGUGUGAGGGAGCGACGCUGCGUGGAGGAUGAAGUCCUUCGGGAUGUAAACUCCUGUCAGGGGUUACCAAGUUCUGAGGAGCCCCAGAGGAAGAGGCGGCUAACUCUGUGCCAGCAGCCGCGGUAAGACAGAGGCCUCAAGCGUUAGGCGGAAUCACUGGGCUUAAAGCGUGUGUAGGCGGAUGGUUAAGUGCCUUGUGAAAUCCCACGGCUCAACCGUGGAACUGCUGGGCAUACUGGUCAUCUUGAGCCAUCUAGGGGCGACUGGAACAGACGGUGGGAGCGGUGAAAUGCGUAGAUAUCGUCUGGAACGCCAAAGGUGAAAACAGGUCGCUGGGGUAUGUGCUGACGCUGAGACACGAAAGCCAGGGGAGCAAACGGGAUUAGAGACCCCUGUAG